UAUAGAAGUGGAUUUGAUGAAUUUCGUGCAAAGCAAGAAAGAAAGACUACGAUCCAAGUCUUCGUAUGAUCCAUCUGAUGUUAUUGGAACAUCAUCUGAAGAGGGAUAUAUUGGCAUUUCAAAGAAGAGUAAUGUAUUUGGAAGGUACUCUGCUGGUGCAGUUGAUACUGAUAGCAUCAGAAAGUGGAAUUCUCUUCAAGACCCAACCUAUAUGACUAGGUCUAUUGGCCAGUUGUCUGAUGGUACUCAGGACCUCUAUCAUGGUGUGGAAACUGGUCCCAACACUGAUAUUUCUGUUACAAAAGCCAAGGAGUUGAAAUUUGGGGCACUAACCACAAGCGAGAAUGAUGGAUUAUGGACAACAUUAGAAAGCAAGGACAACAGCUCAAACAUGGAACACACCUCCGCUCCUCAUCUGGAUGUCAAUGGGCUAAAUGGGCUAGUUGAUUCAGACCAUCUACAGAUUGCUCUUGAUGCUGGAGCUGAUAAUGAGUCUUCAUCUGACAUGGGGCUUAAUCACAUAAAACUUUCUGAUCUCCAGAUAAAUCCAACUCUGGAAACUGGACCAAGCAUCCCUCAGAUUCUUCAUUUGAUUUGCAAUGGUGAUGAUGGUAGUCCUGAUGCUAACAAGCGUGAUGCACUUCAACAAUUGGUCAAAGCUUCUGUUGCUAAUGAUCAAUCCAUCUGGAGCAAGUACUUCAAUCAGAUA
rnacentral:misc_RNA from 1 species